GGGCCUAUAGCUCAGUUGGUUAGAGCAGGGGACUCAUAAUCCCUUGGUCGCUGGUUCUAAUGUGGGGUUUA
rnacentral:tRNA from 1 species